ensembl:ncRNA C44B7.19 ncRNA
ACUCAUAGUCCAGGAUAAUCUUCAAAAAGACACUGCAGUUUUUUUUUGAUUUUACAAAAUUUUGAAAGUUUUGAUAAACUGUCCAAUAUUUGUGGUAAAUUGCCAACUUUUUCAGU